rnacentral:rRNA from 1 species
CAAUCCUAUUUGGGAUAACUGUGGUAAUUCUAAGCUAAUACAUGAAGCAGGGCUCUGACCUCGCGGAAAGAGCGCGUUUAUUAAUCAAAACCAGCCCGGGUUCGCAGGGCCCGCCCGGAUUGUGAGACUGGAUAACUUUGUGCUGAUCGCACGGCCUCGCGCCGCGACGUAUCUUAAAAUGUCCCCUAUCAACUUUCGAUGGUAGGGAUAUGCCUACCAUGGUUGUAACGGGUAACGGGAAUCGGGUUCGAUUCCGGAGAGGAGCAUGAAACGGCUACCACCCCAAGGGAAAGGGGCAGCAGGCGCGCAAAUUACCCCUCCUGGCACGGGGAGGUAGGUGACGAAAAAUAACAAUACGGGUCUUUCGACCCAUUGGAAUGAGUACACUUAAACCCUUUAACGAGGAUCUAUUGGGGGGGCAAGUCUGGUGCCAGCAGCCGCGGAAAUUUCCCAAACUCAAUAGCGUAUAAAAGUUGUUGCAGUUAAAAAAGCUCGUAGUUGGAUCUCGGGUCAGCGCGGUCCGACCCUGUCGGUUACUGCUCGUCUGACCUACCUCCGUUUCCCCUUGGUGCUCUUGACUGAGUGUCGGGGGCCCGGAACGUUUACUGAAAAAAUUAGAGUGUUCAAAGCAGGCAAUAUCCCCUGAAUAAUGGUGCAUGGAAUAAUGGAAGGGGACCUCGGGUUCUAUUUGCUGGUUUCGGCUCGAGUAAUGAUUAAGAGGGACUGACGGGGCAUUCGUAUUACGGUGUUAGAGGUGAAAUUCUUGGAUCGCCGUAAGACGAACUACUGCGCAUUGCCAAGCAUGUUUUCAUUAGUCAGAACGAAGGUCAGAGGUUCGAAGACGAUCAAAAUACCGUCGUGUUCUGACCAUAAACGAUGCAAUAGCGAUCCCCCGGAGUUGCUUCAAUGACUCGGCAGGCCCCCGAGCCAAGUUUUUGGGUUCCGGAAGUAUGUUCAAAGCUGAGCAAGGAAUUGACGGGGCACCACCGGGGUUGGAGCCUGCGGCUUAAUUGACUCAACACGGAAACUCACCCCCCCGGACACUGUAAGGAUUGACAGAUUGAGGCUCUUUCUUGAUUCGGUGGGUGGUGGUGCAGGGCCGUUCUUAGUUGGUGGAGCGAUUUGUCUGGUUAAUUUUCCGAUAACAACGAGACUCUAGCCUCUAAAUGGUUCCGAUCCCCUUUUGCGUCGGCGCAACUUAGAGGGACAAGUGGCGUUUAGCCACGAGAUGAGCAAUAACGGUCUGUGAUCCCUUAAGAUGUUCGGGGCCGCACGCGCGCUACACUGAAGGAAUCAGCGUGUCUCUGCCUUGCCUGGAAAGGUCGGGUAACCCGUUGAACCUCCUUCGUGCUGGGGAUUGGGGCUUGUAAUUCUUCCCCAUGAACGAGGAAUUCCCAGUAGCGCGAGUCUAAGCUCGCGUUGAUUACGUCCCUGCCCUUGUACACCGCCCGUCGCUACUACCGAUUGGGCGUUUUAGUAAACGCCUCGGAUUGGACCCGGAAAUGGUUGGCAACAACCGACCGGUGUGCCGAAGAGCGCAAACGAACGCCUGAGAGUAAAAGUCGCCAAAAAGGGUUUUCCCUGGUGAACCUGCGGAAGGAUCG